UUCCUACGGGAGGCAGCAGUGAGGAAUAUUGGUCAAUGGCCGUAAGGCUGAACCAGCCAAGUAGCGUGAGGGAAGACUGCCCUAUGGGUUGUAAACCUCUUUUAUGCGGGGAUAAAGGUGUCCACGUGUGGAUGUUUGCAGGUACCGCAUGAAUAAGGACCGGCUAAUUCCGUGCCAGCAGCCGCGGUAAUACGGAGGAUGCGAGCGUUAUCCGGAUUUAUUGGGUUUAAAGGGUGCGUAGGCGGGCUGUUAAGUCAGCGGUCACAUGUCGGGGCUCAACCCCGGCCUGCCGUUGAAACUGGCGG
rnacentral:rRNA from 1 species